rnacentral:rRNA from 1 species
CUCAAAUUUGAAAUCUGGCUCUUUCAGAGUCCGAGUUGUAAUUUGAAGAAGGUAUCUUUGGGUCUGGCUCUUGUCUAUGUUUCUUGGAACAGAACGUCACAGAGGGUGAGAAUCCCGUGCGAUGAGAUGAUCCAGGCCUAUGUAAAGUUCCUUCGAAGAGUCGAGUUGUUUGGGAAUGCAGCUCUAAGUGGGUGGUAAAUUCCAUCUAAAGCUAAAUAUUGGCGAGAGACCGAUAGCGAACAAGUACAGUGAUGGAAAGAUGAAAAGAACUUUGAAAAGAGAGUGAAAAAGUACGUGAAAUUGUUGAAAGGGAAGGGCUUGAGAUCAGACUUGGUAUUUUGUAUGUUACUUCUUCGGGGGUGGCCUCUACAGUUUAUCGGGCCAGCAUCAGUUUGGGCGGUAGGAGAAUUGCGUUGGAAUGUGGCACCGCUUCGGUUGUGUGUUAUAGCCUUCGUCGAUACUGCCAACCUAAACUGACGGACUGCGGUUUAUACCUAGGAUGUUGGCAU